CUUAGCCUUUUGGUCCUUUCAAAUUCCACAAACGAGUAGCUUUCUCAUUUAACAGUUUCCGAUGUCGAUAAUAUCAAUUGAUAAAAUUACUAGAUUUAGAGUUCUCAAGUUUGUGAUUUUGAGAAUGAGUGGAAGAUUCAUGAUGAUGAUGAGAGACUUGUGCGUGCAAGUCCAUGUCUUUCUCAAAGGAAGACAACAUCUGAUUUGAGUUUGGGGAUUCUUGUUGUUGGAAACGUGAAAUGUUCUUUGUCUUCCUUCAUACUUCGCACUUCCUAAGUGUAGAUCAGUUCAUGAUCAUGUUUCGGCUGUCCCAGCCCAGUCCCACCUCCACCUUUUUAUGUUGUUAUUUUCAUAAGUCAGGGAAGAGAUGACCGAAACAAAUUUCAGUAGCAAUCUGAUUAGGCUACUGAACUUGUUUCUAUCUUUGUCACAUUUAUGUUUAACUGAGUUUAUGCUGUAACAAUUAGUCCUAA